GUGGAGCUUGCUCCACGGAUUAGUGGCGAACGGGUGAGUAACACGUGAAUAACCUGCCCUCAAUUUCGGAAUAACCCAGGGAAACCUGGGCUAAUACCGGAUACGUAAACCUGUGGCAUCACAUGGUUUUGGAAAGUUUUUCGAUUGAGGAUGGAUUCGCGGCCUAUCAGCUUGUUGGUGAGGUAAUGGCUCACCAAGGCGACGACGGGUAGCCGGCCUGAGAGGGUGGACGGCCACACUGGGACUGAGACACGGCCCAGACUCCUACGGGAGGCAGCAGUGGGGAAUAUUGCGCAAUGGACGAAAGUCUGACGCAGCGACGCCUCGUGAGGGACGAAGGUCUUCGGAUUGUAAACCUCUUUCAGCAGGGACGAAGCGAAAGUGACGGUACCUGCAGAAGAAGCACCGGCUAACUAUGUGCCAGCAGCCGCGGUAAUACAUAGGGUGCAAGCGUUGUCCGGAUUUAUUGGGCGUAAAGAGUUCGU
rnacentral:rRNA from 1 species